UGAGGAAUAUUGGUCAAUGGGCGGAAGCCUGAACCAGCCAAGUCGCGUGAGGGAAUAAGGCCCUACGGGUCGUAAACCUCUUUUGCCGGGGAGCAAGGGCGGGGACGUGUCCCGGCCCGGAGAGUACCCGGAGAAAAAGCAUCGGCUAACUCCGUGCCAGCAGCCGCGUAAUCUCUAGCU
rnacentral:rRNA from 1 species